rnacentral:lncRNA from 1 species
CUGACCUCAAUGUAUCCUGAAGCUAAACAUUUACAGCAGUCUUUGAGUUUGACUCACAGGAGGAUGCUCUUCUGAUCUGAGAAGCUCCUUUAAUGCAGAACAGAAUUAAACACUAAUCCAGUGUUUAUUCUUUAUCUUUCUAUAUUACUCUAAUAAAUAACAAUAAAGAUUCCUGAUAAGCAACAUUUUUCAGUAGGCUACAGAAAAGUAUUUUAUGUAUGAAUAUGAGCUAUAACAUACAGUACAGUAACACAAAGAUAUUUGUUGUUGCCACAGGGUGGAGCUCUGAAGCCUGAUGUUAAACAGCAGAUCAAGCUAAAUGUGACUGAAUCAAGGUUGAGUUUGACACUUCAAGCUUUCAGACUACUGAGCAGUCACCAUGUUUACUGUUGUCUUCAUUGUAGUUUCACUGCUUAAGGAGAGUGCUGAUGCAUAUUCAAUAGAAUCUCUCUUACCAGAACAGCAUGUUUCAGUUGGACAAAGUGCUGUUAUCUCUUGCAAAUACAGUGGCAUUGGGCCCAGCUUUUAUUGGUACCGCCAAUAUCCAGGAUCCAGACCUGAGUACCUUAUUUUUAAUGCAGAGACUGGCGUUUCUUCCGAACCCUCUUUACGUCUCAAAGCACAGGCUAAAAAAGCGAUCACAGAAGUGGAACUGGAGAUCUCCUCUACUGAAGUCAAAGACUCUGCUGUAUAUUACUGCGCUCUGAGGCCCACAGUGACAGGAAACACAAGAACACUGAACAAAAACCCUGAUUUCAGUCAGAUGAUUGUGUACUUCACUGUAAAAACAUUUUUGUGUGUGUGUGUUACUGAUUUUAUUCUAUUGUUUAACACUUCAGUGAAUAAUCCAACCAUAUUGUUUCAGUUAUACAUAAAACUAUAAUAUCAUGUUUGAUUUCAGUUAGAAUAAAAAUGCAGAAUAUAUUCAUCAUAUUCCAGUAUAAGUUGGUAUUUUUAUAUGACUGUAUAUUAUAUUAUUUUAGUUUGUCUCUUUGGUAAGAAAGCUUCAGUAACUUAGUAAGUAAACUCAGU